GAUGAACGCUGGCGGCGUGCCUAAUACAUGCAAGUCGAGCGAACAGAUGAGGAGCUUGCUCCUCUUACGUUAGCGGCGGACGGGUGAGUAACACGUGGAUAACCUACCUAUAAGACUGGGAUAACUUCGGGAAACCGGAGCUAAUACCGGAUAAUAUAUUGAACCGCAUGGUUCAAUAGUGAAAGACGGUUUUGCUGUCACUUAUAGAUGGAUCCGCGCCGCAUUAGCUAGUUGGUAAGGUAACGGCUUACCAAGGCAACUAUGCGUAGCCGACCUGAGAGGGUGAUCGGCCACACUGGAACUGAGACACGGUCAAGACUCCUACGGGAGGGAGCAGUAGGGAAUCUUGCGCAAUGGGCGAAAGCCUGACGGAGCAACGCCGCGUGAGAGAUGAAGGUCUUCGGAGCGUAAAACUCUGUUAUUAGGGAAGAACAAAUGUGUAAGUAAAUAUGCACGUCUUGACGGUACCUAAUCAGAAAGCCACGGCUAACUACGUG
rnacentral:rRNA from 1 species